rnacentral:lncRNA from 1 species
GUCAGUCCGUCAUAGGGAAGGAUUUCAAGCUGGGCUAGCCCAUAACCCCCUAACGCAAGGGUGGAAGUUGCCCCGUUUGACAGGCUUUGUAAAUUCUUAGUUCUCUUUAAUUCUGAGUUCAGCCUUUAGCUCCCGACUCUUGGCCUGUUUCCCACUUCCUACCCUUGGCUCCAUGUGUCCCCCGUCUCCAGACUUCAGCCCAAACCUAUGGGCUGGACCGCUCACGUCCCACGUCCUGCUCCCUCGCAGCCCAAGAGCUGAACUGCUUAGCAGUGGUUCAGCCAAACUUUUCAGGCCUUCUCCACCCAGACAGCCCUUUUGCAAAAGGCUGUUGUUGCUUCUGGCUGGAUGGAUGCAGACCGAGGAUAAAAUAUCUCCUGGAGCUUGGCCACCACUGCUUCUGGUGCCUCGUGGAGCCAGGAAGCCCAGCUGGCCCGAGCACAAAGAGCAGCUUAACAGGGGCUGAGCUGAGGAUUACCAUAACUUUCAAUCUGUCUCAAAGCACCACAUGGGUGAAAGAGCUCAGUGGACAGACAGGCUGCACGUCUCCUCAGAUGGCAGCCGGCAGGUCGUGCAGACCUCCUGGUCUGCUGUGCCCUGAGCUCCCCGCCCGGCCAAGUGCCGUGCUGGACCAGUCCUGCCCCCUGUCAGUCCUGGGUUAUACUAGUGUAUCGUUUUGUUCCAUGGAAAUGAUGCCCUUUAAGCGCCGAACAGCAACAAGCUCGGUUACUCGUGUUGUAGCGAUGCGUAAUUGCAUGCAGACCUCUGUCUUUGCUGCAUGUGUUUCAGCAGACGACCCUGUCUCACCCAAAGGGCCUCAGGGACCUGCCAUCAGAGAAGCUCUGGCUAACAUGCCACUUCCCAAUCUGACCAUUAGCUAAGUCGGGUCCCCAGGAGACGAGGCAUGCAUCCAAACGCAUCUUGGAAAGAAAAUCUCUUGCAAGUUGCAUUGAAAACAACGAUCUAGUGUAAUUCAAACAGAGCAAUUAACAACCGCUUCAGUGCAGAGCAGCCUCUGUUUAUGUUUUCGCAGCAACAUGAAAGCUGC